GCAACAGGAUCUACCUGCUUGGGGAAGGAUUUAUUUUUUUCAGAUAGCCAGCUGGGCAAGUCCACUUUACUUGUUCUCUGUCUUGCUUUGGAGCUCGGCAUCAGCAGAGCUGAUUUGCGGUGUGCAAACUGUAGCCCUUUUCUUUUAAAGUCAGUAAACUUCGAGGAAAAGGAUCGUCUCAGGCUCUCCUGAGGCUUUCCUUCAGGAAUUUGAGACAAGGGGGGAGGGGUGGGGGGGGUCUCACUUCUCGGAGACUUUUUCUAGACCCGUUCCUCUUUGAGAGAUGACAGGACCCCUUGAAAGUUCAGAAAGUUAGAGAUUAAUUUUCAGAGCCAGACUGGAAAUACCAAGUCGCCAGAAAGGUCAUCACCACCCACUGGAAAGGCAAACUUUGAGCAGAAGGCGAUGUUAGCAGUUAUCUAGGCUUGUUAACUGCCCCCUCCCCCCCAUAACUUUUACAUUUGAAGGGCCCAAGCCCAGAGGGGUCUUGUGACUAGGGUUGAGGGCACUGGUUUAGUUCGCUGGUGGAAGCAAUCAGCUGCUUUCUCGCAAUCAACUGUCGCUGUGUGCCCUUCGAUGAGUUACUGUACUUCUCUAACUUCAGUUUCCUUUUGUCCAAGCGAGGGACAGUGACCAUCGGUAACACUCUUAAUCUCAUAUUCCUGUGUUAUGGACCCGAUGAAAGAAUACAUGUUGAAUAUCAAAUACAGGGUAAUUGCUCAAACUGUGUUAGCGGCUCCCCUUAUUAUCACGAUUGUCCUUUCCUGCUCAGCCCUCUGAAUUACACCGCUUGUAUUUAUUUUUAUCAUUUUGAAUUGGGUGAGAGCCUAGUGGCUUUAAAGGUUGACUCACUUGUUGGGCCGUGUGGGCAGAUGACAGAGAUGACAGAGAUCCCGGGAAGCUGGAUACCAGGACUCUAGUUUCUAGUGGGAAAGUGUUAUUCCCCUCGCUCCUGAAUAGUCCUUCUCCCGCUUCAGGAGAGCAGCCAAACAGAAAAAAAUUCUCCUGGGCCUGGGCCCAGACUCAGCCCCAAGGCUUCCAGGAGGCAGCUGGGUGAGCCAGAGAUGUGGGUGUCGUGGGAAUGGUGUCCCUGGAGCUGAAGUCCUUGCCCUCCCCUCCCCAUACACAUCUCAACAUCUCGGGGAUGGGCCAGGCAGACUUCCCCAGGGAUGCAGCCUGCAGACAGCAACGGCACACUGUAUGCUCUUCUUGGGCUGGGCAGCCCGUUCUGGACCAGGGGGCAUUGCCCAGCCCUGCUGCACAAGCCUGCUGCUGGCAGGCAGAGGCAGGAGGCAGUAACUCUUUGACAAGGUCUCGUCCAUUGGUAGAUUCACAGUGACCUUUGACACUCAUUAACAGUGUGUUCCUGGCAUGUGGACACUCAUUUGACAGUAAAAGUUGAGUCCCUACUAUGUGCCAGUCAGUGUUCUGGACCCGGAGGUCAGUGAUGGGCAAGGCGGGCCAGGUCUCGGCCCUGGGAGAGCUUGUGUUUCUGGUCAUGGAAGGAAGAGGAACUACGGAUAAGAAAAUGGGGGGGGGGGGGGCGCCUGGGUGGCUCAGCCGGCUAAGCGGCUGACUCUUAACUUUGGCUCAGGUCAUGAUCUCACUGUUCGUGAGUUCGGGCCCCGCAUUGGGCUCUGUGCUCACAGAGCAGAGUCUGCUUUGUAUCCUCUGUCUCCCUCUUUCUGCCCUUCCCCUGCUCGCUCUCUCUCUCUCUCUCUCUCUCUC